GUGACUCCACCGUUCAGAUGUAGUGAAACACUGAGAUUAAAAAGAAUCUCAGUGUUUGCAAACCAAUAAUUCAACCCUACUAAUCGUUGUGUCCACUUCAGAUUGUAAAGUAUGUGUGUACAUGAUAUAUUCGACAACAUGUACAUACUGAGGUUAAUCUGAAACAUAGUUCCUGGAUGGUCCAGAUAGGCGAGGUGGCUCAAUUCAGAACGAACCCAGACAGGGACACGACCAUCCGCCGCAGCGACCGUUUGACUGCAGACCUGUAAUCUGAGAGGUUAAGAUCAUCCACACUGGUGAUCGUCCUCUUCAUCCACUGUGUGUGUAAAAAUUGUUCCAUUUUUUCCUCAGCAAGGCACGGACGGGGUUCGAACCCGCGAUCUUCGGUUUACGAGACCGACGCCUUACCACUUGGCCACCGCGCCAGGCUUCGAAAAAUGUCGAACAGACCUGUAGUCAACAAUGGGAACUUCAUGUUGGAUAUAUCGGGGUAAACAACGUAAAGUGUCCUUCGUGUUGAUGUAAUUUAUCCAAUGACAACGGGCAGAGGAUUUAAAGUGACGUCAGGUAAUCCAGGGAAAGGAGGUAGGGGAUUUCAAGUGAGGUCAUGUAUCCAGUGACAGGGAGGAAAGGAUUUAAAGUGACAUCAUGUAAUCGAGUGACACGGAGGAGGGGAUUUAAAGUGACGUCAUGUAUCCAGUGACAUGAGAUUUAAAGUGACGUCAUGUGUCCAGUGACAGGGAGGAGAGGAUUAACAGUGGGGCUCUGAGGAGCAGAAAACCUCCCACCAAUACGGACUGUAACCCGGAAGAAGAGUCUCCCUCCUCCUCCCCACGACAUCCUGCUGCUGCCGUCCGUCUGUCCCAGUCCUCCCCCCAUGUAGGGAGAUCUAGUAGGCCUACUGGUGUUGGGGUCUGAUGUGGUGGAGGUCUGAGUUCUGACGGGACCCAGGUUCUCUAUGUGGUAACUGCAGUGCCAUGCCCCUGCUGGUCUGAGUCUGGUCUCUCCUGGUCUCUCCAGCAGCGCCAGGCCCCUGCUGGUCUACUCCUGGUCCCUCCCGGUCUCUCCAGCUGCGCCAUGCCCCUGGUGGUGGACGCGGUGUGGGCCGUGUGGAGCAUCACCGCCGGCGUGUACGACUACUUCAAGACCAGCGCCAUGGAGGAGAGGAUCCACGCGCUGGAGGACCUCCUCUCGCUCCACCAGCUGCUCAUCGCCGGGCUGUCCACCGGCCUGGUGCUGCUGCUGGGCUACGUGCUGCUCAGGAAACGCUGACCCCCAGGGACCAGGAGCGCUGGUCCUGGUCGGGAACCUCUGACCCCGCGGCCCGGAGGCCGGAGGUCCCCCUCGGGGGGGUCCUGCUCCACCUCCAGAUGGGUCCUCGGGCUCAGUGCGGCUCCAGAGGUGUAGGAGGGCUUCCAGCAGCAGUGGGAUCAAGGAGACUUGUGGGAUUAGGACAGAUGGGGACCAGCUGUGACAUUACAGGAGACGUCUCCUCUCGGUGACCUGGGAGGAACUCCCUGGAACAGGAGACGAUGACGUCACCAGCUGUGGUGGGGGAACCUGAGACCUCCAAACUGCCAAAUCAUGCCUGGACCUCUAGUCACAUGGUCUGAAUGGACCAACCAGGGAUGGUUGGAAAUCAUGCUAACCUGUCGUAGCUGAGGUCCUAACCUGGACUAGAAAAGCUGAACCCUCAACUAUCAUCAACUAUCAACACCUAACCCUGUGGUACCCUCCUCAUCCAUCAACACCUGUCUUUGUUGAACCCUGGUCUCCUGAUUUGAUUGUAUUUCUUUGUUCCUGCUGGGUCUCUGUAGAGGGUUCUGGGGAUAAAGGGACUUUUAUGUUGGCUAGUCUUUAGAACUCAUUACUUUAUUGCCGUUCUGUCAGCGUGUGUACAUGUAUGGAGGAGGUCCUUGAGGGAGAUAUGAUGGUUUAACAAACGGUGAUUAUUAUUAUGGCGUGAUCAGCUCAGUGAUGGAGCUUCAAUAGUGUGAAAACUGCAUUCAAAUGACAACUGGCUUUUUAUCUUCAAACUAAAAUACAAUUCAUUAAAAUAAAUGUUGCUUAAUGAUGAACUGUUAAUAAAUAAAAAAGGAAAAAAGCAAA